UCCACAGGCAAUUGAAUCAUAGGGUUGAGCCUGGUCAGUACCUGGAUGGGAGACCUCCUGGGAAAACAAGGUUGCUGUUGGAA
rnacentral:rRNA from 1 species